rnacentral:rRNA from 1 species
AUAUUGGACAAUGGGCGAAAGCCUGAUCCAGCCAUGCCGCGUGUGUGAAGAAGGUCUUCGGUUUGUAAAGCACUUUAAGUUGGGAGGAAGGGCAGUAAGCGAAUACCUUGCUGUUUUGACGUUACCGACAGCAUACGCACCGGCUAAUCCUGUCCCAGCAGACGCGGUACUCCAGAGGGUGCAAGCGUUAAUCGGAAUUACUGGGCGUAAAGCGCGCGUAGGUGGUUCGUUAAGUUGGAUGUGAAAUCCCCGGGCUCAACCUGGGGACUGCAUCCAAAACUGGCGAGCUAGAGUAGGGCAGAGGGUGGUGGAAUUUCCUGUGUAGCGGUGAAAUGCGUAGAUAUAGGAAGGAACACCAGUGGCGAAGGCGACCACCUGGGCUCAUACUGACACUGAGGUGCGAAAGCGUGGGGAGCAAACA